rnacentral:lncRNA from 1 species
UUUGAUAUAAUGUUAUAGUUGUGGGUAAUAUUUUUAAAUUUUGCAAAGUAAGCAAGUUGUUAUAAAAUAUUCGUUUGGUCGGGGAAUAUUCUUUUUGUCGGGGAAUAUUCGUACGACGACACAAUCAUUGGUGGACCCCAUAACAGAAUUAUUGUCGGAGUUAGAAAACGACAAAAUUAUCUUUUUAUAAAAAUAACGGCGGAAGUUUUAC